rnacentral:rRNA from 1 species
AGCGGGAAAAGCUCAAAUUUAAAAUCUGGCGGUCAUGCCGUCCGAGUUGUAAUCUGGAGAAGCGUUUUCCGCGUCGGACCGUGUACAAGUCUUCUGGAACGGAGCGUCAUAGAGGGUGAGAAUCCCGUCUCUGACACGGACUACCGAUGCUUUUGUGAUGCGCUCUCGAAGAGUCGAGUUGUUUGGGAAUGCAGCUCAAAAUGGGAGGUAAAUUCCUUCUAAAGCUAAAUAUUGGCUAGAGACCGAUAGCGAACAAGUACCGUGAGGGAAAGAUGAAAAGCACUUUGGAAAGAGAGUUAAACAGUACGUGAAAUUGUUGAAAGGGAAACGCUUGAAGUCAGUCGCGUUGGCCGAGACUCAGCCUGGCUUGCCUGGUGUACUUCUCGGUCGACGGGUCAGCAUCAGUUUUGACCGUCGGAUAAAGGUUGGAGGAAUGUGGCAUCUCUCGGGAUGUGUUAUAGCCUCUGAUUCGCAUACGGCGAUUGGGACUGAGGAACUCAGCACGCCUUUACGGUCGGGGUUCGCCCACGCAACGUGCUUAGGAUGCUGGCAUAAUGGCUUUAAGCGACCCGUCUUGAAACACGGACCAAGGAGUCUAACAUGCCCGCGAGUGUUUGGGUGUCAAACCCGAGCGCGUAAUGAAAGUGAAAGUUGAGAUCCCUGUCGUGGGAGCAU